UACCAGCACCCCGAGUGGUCGGGACGAUUAUUGGGCCUAAAGCAUCCGUAGCCGGCCUUAUAAGUCCUCCGUUAAAUCCAGCUGCUUAACAGAUGGGCUGCGGAGGAUACUAUAAGACUAGGAGGCAGGAGAGGCAAGCGGUACUCAGUGGGUAGGGGUAAAAUCCGUUGAUCCAUUGAAGACCACCAGUGGCGAAGGCGGCUUGCCAGAAUGCGCUCGACGGUGAGGGAUGAAAGCUGGGGGAGCAAACCGG
rnacentral:rRNA from 1 species